rnacentral:tRNA from 1 species
GGGGACUUAGCUCAGCUGGUAGAGCGCUGUCCUUGCACGGCAGAUGUCAGCGGUUCGAACCCGCUAGUCUCCA